AUAACUCAGAGCAUGGUAGCUCCUCCCCACCAUUUUCUUAGGCGUUUUCUUCAUUUAGUUUCAUCCAGAAAAAGUCUUUUUGACGCACUAGAAAUUGAUUUCUAUUAUUGUUGUUCAUUUAUCUAGACCUUUUUCUCUUCCUCGCUACUGAUAUAUUUUCACCUUCCAUUAAGAGUCUUUGACAGGCCUUCGGUGGAAGCAUAAUUUUUGUUGCCUUUCUAGUCGUCGUGUUGUCUCCUGUGAGUAACUUCAAGCAAAAUAGACAAUUUGAAAAGCUUUUAAACGAGAGUGGUGACAUAAAAGUUGAAGUCUCGAGAGAUGGCAGGCACCGAAGCGUGUUGAUCUUUGAAGUUGUAGUGGGUGAUGUUGUGUGUUUGAGAAUUGAAGAUCGUUAAUGGCUUGUUUCGAGAAUCAGCAGUUUGGCAUAUCACCGGUGAAAGUGACCAUGUUGAGAGCGACAACAAGAGAGCCUUUUCUUGCUUUCUGGCACAGAAUGGUGACAGAAGGUUAUGGUUCUAUGCUGGUCACUCGUGCAGGCAUGAACACAACAAGAAGAGAGAUGAUGCUCCAAUAAGCGUUGCCUUGAAAGUUGGAUGACGAGACUCCACUACCUGUAGAUUGCCACAACAAGCUAAACAUCCUAUACCCGGAAGAUGAAAUUGGCUGUGACCAAUUGAUUUUAGAUGCUAUAUAUGGUCAGUCAAAGACAUUGUUGUGACUCAGCCCAUAUGGAGUCUCAGCUUAUCCAACAUGGUCAAUUUCAUCAGUCAUAAGCUAGAUUCAUCCCCCUGCAAGGAGUUCCUAUUCAAGAAUAACACAUCAGUCGGAAUCUGAUCACCAAUUCUGAAACACACAAUAUCACCCACUACAACUUCAAAGAUCAACACGCUUUGGCGCCUGCCAUCUCUCGAGACUUCAACUUUUAUGUCACCACUCUCGUUUAAAAGCUUUUCAAAUUGUCUACUUUGCUUAAAGUUUCUCACAGAAGAGAGCACUUCGACUAGAAAGACAUCAAAGAAGUAUGCUUCCACCAUCGUCUGCAGCCCAUAACUUGGCGUUUUGCCACAGGGCUAUCUUGUUUGUUAGGCAGCUAGGUGUGAUAAUAAAAGUUGAAUGAUGUAAUACAAAAGUUGUGAUUCAAUUUCAACAUUUAAUUAUCUGCAAGUUCUAUAAAACGUUUGAAUAAUUAAUAAUGUGUUUAGAAA